GCAAACUUGGUCAUUUAGAGGAAGUAAAAGUCGUAACAAGGUUUCCGUAGGUGAACCUGCGGAAGGAUCAUUAACGAGUUUCGUUCGGGGGCGCCGAUCCCCGAACGUGUACCCUCUUUUCCCACACCUCUGUGCACUCUUAUGAGAUUGUGGGUUCCGCCCCGGGCCCGCGAUCUGACAUUCUAAAACCCUGCGAAAAAAAAACGGAAAGAACGUGAAGAUCAUAAAUGAAAAGCAUAACUUUCAACGACGGAUCUCUUGGUUCUCGCAUCGAUGAAGAACGCAGC
rnacentral:misc_RNA from 1 species